rnacentral:tRNA from 1 species
GCCGACUUAGCUCAGCUGGUCAGAGCACCUGUCUUGUAAACAGGGGGUCGGAAGUUCGAAUCUUCUAGUCGGCA